UGGGGAAUAUUGCACAAUGGGCGCAAGCCUGAUGCAGCCAUGCCGCGUGUGUGAAGAAGGCCUUCGGGUUGUAAAGCGCUUUCAGCGAGGAGGAAGGUGGUGAGCUUAAUACGCUCAUCAAUUGACGUUACUCGCAGAAGAAGCACCGGCUAACUCCGUGCCAGCAGCCGCGGUAAUACGGAGGGUGCAAGCGUUAAUCGGAAUUACUGGGCGUAAAGCGCACGCAGGCGGUUUGUUAAGUCAGAUGUGAAAUCCCCGGGCUCAACCUGGGAACUGCAUUUGAAACUGGCAAGCUAGAGUCUCGUAGAGGGGGGUAGAAUUCCAGGUGUAGCGUGAAAUGCGUAGAGAUCUGGAGGAAUACCGGUGGCGAAGGCGGCCCCCUGGACGAAGACUGACGCUCAGGUGCGAAAGCGUGGGGCAGCAAACAGGAUUAGAUACCCUGGUAGUCCACGCUGUAAAACGAUGUCGAUUUGGAGGUUGUGCCCUUGAGGCGUGGCUUCCGGAGCUAACGCGUUAAAUCGACCGCCUGGGGAGUACGGCCGCAAGGUU
rnacentral:rRNA from 1 species